rnacentral:rRNA from 1 species
CGAAAAGAACCCCUGUGAGGGGAGUGAAAUAGAACCUGAAACCGGAUGCGUACAAGCAGUCAGAGCCCGCAAGGGUGAUGGCGUACCUUUUGUAUAAUGGGUCAGCGACUUACUAGUCUGUAGCAAGCCUAACCGUAUAGGGAAGGCGUAGGGAAACCGAGUCUUAAUAGGGCGCUUAGUUGCAGGCUGUAGACCCGAAACCCGUCGAUCUAUCCAUGUCCAGGGUGAAGUUGUGGUAACACACAAUGGAGGCCCGAACUCACGCCUGUUGAAAAAGUCGGAGAUGAGGUGUGGAUAGGAGUGAA